rnacentral:rRNA from 1 species
GUCGCUACCCGGGACUGAGCGAUCUGGAAAGCCUGCAGGACCGAUUUCUGUGGGGCCUUGUGCUCUAUUGUUGUUGGGAAUGCAAGCUAUCCCGAUGGCUUGAACCGGGUAA